rnacentral:rRNA from 1 species
GUGGGGAAUUUUGGACAAUGGGCGCAAGCCUGAUCCAGCAAUGCCGCGUGAGUGAAGAAGGCCUUCGGGUUGUAAAGCUCUUUUGUCCGGAAAGAAAAGUUCCCGGUUAAUACCCGGGGAUCAUGACGGUACCGGAAGCAUAAGCACCGGCUAACUUCGUGCCACCAGCCGCGGUAAUACGAAGGGUUCAAGCGUUACUCGGAAUUACUGGGCGUAAAGCGUGCGUAGGUGGUUCGUUAAGUCUGAUGUGAAAGCCCUGGGCUCAACCUGGGAAUGGCAUUGGAUACUGGCGGACUGGAGUGCGGUAGAGGAUGGCGGAAUUCCCGGUGUAGCAGUGAAAUGCGUAGAGAUCGGGAGGAACAUCCGUGGCGAAGGCGGCCAUCUGGACCAGCACUGACACUGAGGCACGAAAGCGUGGGGAGCAAA